rnacentral:rRNA from 1 species
UACGGAGGGGGCUAGCGUUGUUCGGAAUUACUGGGCGUAAAGCGCACGUAGGCGGCUUUGUAAGUUAGAGGUGAAAGCCCGGGGCUCAACUCCGGAAUUGCCUUUAAGACUGCAUCGCUUGAGUUGUGGAGAGGUAAGUGGAAUUCCGAGUGUAGAGGUGAAAUUCGUAGAUAUUCGGAAGAACACCAGUGGCGAAGGCGACUUACUGGACACAUAUUGACGCUGAGGUGCGAAAGCGUGGGGAGCAAACAGG